rnacentral:lncRNA from 1 species
GGUCGUCCAUCGCGAUGCAAUCUGGGCCGUCCGUUCCUGAUUGAAUCUGGGUUGUCCGUGCGCGUGAAUCUGGGCCGUCCGCGCGCGUGAAUCUGGGCUGUCCGUGCGCGCGGGAACGGAUCUGGGCCAUCCGAUCGCUCGCACGCGGAUCGCCCACGUGGCUCGUCCCCUGGUCAGCGUUUCCUUGCCACGCGGCGCGUCCUGAUUGGCCGGGGCUGCUGACCGGGCCGCUGACGUGGCUGCUGACGUGGCACAAUUUUUCUAAAUUGCGUUUUGACCCCCGGUUUCUAAUUUUCUUUUCAAAAACACCCCCAGAAUCCAAAUUUUCACCCCUUUUUCCCAAAAUCAAUUUCAAUUAAAUCCAAAUAAUAU